GACGAACGCUGGCGGCGUGCUUAACACAUGCAAGUCGAGCGAUGAAAUCCCUUCGGGGAUGGAUUAGCGGCGGACAGGUGAGUAACACGUGGGUAACCUGCCUCAAAGAGGGGGAUAGCCUCCCGAAAGGGAGAUUAAUACCGCAUAACAUUAGUUUUUCGCAUGGAGGACUAAUUAAAGGAGUAAUCCGCUUUGAGAUGGACCCGCGGCGCAUUAGCUAGUUGGUGAGGUAACGGCUCACCAAGGCGACGAUGCGUAGCCGACCUGAGAGGGUGAUCGGGCACAUUGGAGCUGGUACACGGUCCAGACUCCUACGGGAGGCAGCAGUGGGGAAUAUCGCACAAUGGGCGAAAGCCUGAUGCAGCAACGCCGCGUGAGUGAUGAAGGCCUUCGGGUUGUAAAGCUCUGUCUUUUGGGACGAUAAUGACGGUACCAAAGGAGGAAGCCACGGCUAACUACGUGCCAGCCGCCGCUGUAA
rnacentral:rRNA from 1 species